GUGGGGAAUAUUGCACAAUGGGCGAAAGCCUGAUGCAGCAACGCCGCGUGAAGGAUGAAGGGUUUCGGCUCGUAAACUUCUAUCAAUAGGGAAGAAAGAAAUGACGGUACCUAAAUAAGAAGCCCCGGCUAACUACGUGCCAGCAGCCGCGGUAAUACGUAGGGGGCAAGCGUUAUCCGGAAUUACUGGGUGUAAAGGGAGCGUAGGCGGCAUGGUAAGCCAGAUGUGAAAGCCUUGGGCUUAACCCGAGGAUUGCAUUUGGAACUAUCAAGCUAGAGUACAGGAGAGGAAAGCGGAAUUCCUAGUGUAGCGGUGAAAUGCGUAGAUAUUAGGAAGAACACCAGUGGCGAAGGCGGCUUUCUGGACUGAAACUGACGCUGAGGCUCGAAAGCGUGGGGAGCAAACAGGAUUAGAAACCCUAGUAGUCC
rnacentral:rRNA from 1 species